rnacentral:rRNA from 1 species
GAUGAACGCUGGCGGCGUGCCUAAUACAUGCAAGUCGAGCGAACAGAUGAGGAGCUUGCUCCUCUGACGUUAGCGGCGGACGGGUGAGUAACACGUGGAUAACCUACCUAUAAGACUGGGAUAACUUCGGGAAACCGGAGCUAAUACCGGAAAAUAUAUUGAACCGCAUGGUUCAAUAGUGAAAGACGGUUUUGCUGUCACUUAUAGAUGGAUCCGCGCCGCAUUAGCUAGUUGGUAAGGUAACGGCUUAUCAAGGCAACGAUGCGUAGCCGACCUGAGAGGGUGAUCGGCCACACUGGAACUGAGACACAGUCCAGAGUCCUACGGGAGGCAGCAGUAUGGAAUCUUCCGCAAUGGGCGAAAGCUUGACGGAGCAACGCCGCGUGAGUGAUGAAGGUCUUCGGAUCGUAAAACUCUGUUAUUAGGGAAGAACAAAUGUGUAAGUAACUAUGCACGUCUUGACGGUACCUAAUCAGAAAGCCACGGCUAACUACGUG